UCUGCUAUAAAUUGAAAUUUGUAUAGACAGAACUGAACAGUUACUUGUGGUCUGCCAUCGAAGAUCAGUUAGUUUCGAGCAACGUUCAACGUUUUGUCAUUGACACUUCUCAGGUGCGUGAAUUUCCGGAAAGUACGAUGAAGAACUGGCUGAUAAGUGGAAGGCGCGCGAUCAGUCUUCUCUGCAUCUUCCUUCUCGUGCAGUCGUUCUUGGUUACUUGGUCGAAUUGUGAACCCGAAACGAACUCUGCGAUGUCACGGAUGGCUGUAACCCCUGCAGUGGAAUAUAGAAUUUCACCGAGAUGUCACAUCGGUAUCUAUGGUCGCAAGUUUUUACCCAAAUGGUGCAAAAUAAUCUACUAAUGUUCAGACUCUUAAAAUUUAUAAAUCACACGCAUAUCUUUGUUCCUGUUCCUCCUCUUUUUGAUCAUCGACUUUCGCUUUGAAUCUUGAGGAGCACUGACGUUGCAAGAUUCAAAGGACGUCGAUUGCUAAUUGAUCGAUUAUUAGCUCACUGAUUUUCUGUAUUCAGAAUCCUGUUCCUUGUCAAUCGAAUUACAAAGAAUGCAAUAAACGAGAUAACGUAAACA